AUCUGCGGCCACACCCUUCUGACCAUGCCUGAUCUCAGAAGCUAAGUAGGGGCGAGCCUUGCUGAAACUAGGAUAAGAGAGCACCUGGGAAUACAAGGUGCUGUAGACU
rnacentral:rRNA from 1 species